AUUGAACGCUGGCGGCAUGCCUAACACAUGCAAGUCGAACGGCAGCAUGGUCUAGCUUGCUAGACUGAUGGCGAGUGGCGGACGGGUGAGUAACGCGUAGGAAUAUGCCUUAUAGAGUGGGAUAACUUGGGGAAACUCAAGCUAAUACCGCAUAAUUUCUUAGGAAUAAAGCUGGGGACCGUUAAGGCCUGGCGCUAUAAGAUUAGCCUGCGUCCGAUUAGCUAGUUGGUAGGGUAAAGGCCUACCAAGGCGACGAUCGGUAGCUGGUCUGAGAGGAUGACCAGCCACACUGGAACUGAGACACGGUCCAGACUCCUACGGGAGGCUG
rnacentral:rRNA from 1 species